rnacentral:lncRNA from 1 species
UUCGUUUGCGUCCCGGACAAAGGUCUCCAGUGGCGCCAGUCUUGGACGCGUGACUCGGUCCUUCUGGCCACUCUUUUGCGUGGUGGGUCGUUGGAUUCAGGACUGCAGAAUCCCGGAGAUCAGGAGCGGUGGUGGGUCUCAGGGCACAGGCCUCCCCAUUCGCUCGCCGGCGGCCGUUUCACCCUGGGAAGAGUUGCGGGAGCUGCUCCGCGCUGCCCUCGGCUGUUCCUGAGCGCCCAGGAGCCCAGCGCAAGUCACCCCGGACUCCAGCUAGCGGCCGCGGGCACGCCAGCGCAGCGCUAGCGGUGGCCAAGAGGUGGUCUGGCAGGGCGGUGGACCUGUGUGCCGCGGUCAUGAUCAAGCUUGGAGAGGCUUGUACCUGUCAUGGUGGAGAUGUUAGCGGACAGUGGACAUGGAACAUUGAUGAACUCCUCCACAGCGGGCUAGGAGUGAAUGGGAACAGGAAGCAGAGGCCUACCCAACACCAGAAAGCUCAGUUAAUGGAGCAUGUCCUUGCCCAAUCAUUGCUUCCUUGCUGUACUUUGGAGCCUCAGAACAUUACCAAAGCACCUGGAGAGGCGGAGAAAUCAGAGAGAUUCAGCCAGCUGAGCGGUUAG